UACGUAGGGUGCAAGCGUUGUCCGGAAUUAUUGGGCGUAAAGAGCUCGUAGGCGGUCUGUCGCGUCGAAUGUGAAAACCCGGGGCUCAACCCCGGGCCUGCAUUCGAUACGGGCAGACUAGAGUUCGGUAGGGGAGUCUGGAAUUCCUGGUGUAGCGGUGAAAUGCGUUGAUAUCCACAGGAACUCCGGUGGCGAAGGCGGCUUGCUGGACCUUUUCUGACGCUGAGGCGCGAAAGCCAGGGGAGCAAACGGG
rnacentral:rRNA from 1 species